UACGAAGGGGGCUAGCGUUGCUCGGAAUCACUGGGCGUAAAGCGCACGUAGGCGGACUCUUAAGUCGGUGGGUGAAAUCCUGGAGCUCAACUCCAGAACUGCCUUCGAUACUGAGAGUCUUGAGUCCGGGAGAGGUGAGUGGGAACUGCGAGUGUAGAGGUGAAAUUCGUAGAUAUCGGGGAGGAACACCGGUGGCGAAGGCGGCGAUCUGGGUCGAUACUGACGCGUGAGGUGCGAAAGCG
rnacentral:rRNA from 1 species